CAACUUUUUUCAAUUAACUUGACCUUUAGAAUAAGACAGAAGCUGAAUUUUUAGAUUGACUUCACUUUUCUUCCCCUACGCUUGACUGUUUUGCAUGUGCACGUUGCCAUAGUGUUAGUCUAAGGAUCUUUGGUAAGUGAUGUAACAAUACAAACAAAAAAGCAAAGAACCAUUGAGUCAGAUUUUUCUGUGUGUGUCAUCUACCCCUUGAUUGGAGAUAUGUGAGGAUGUAAUGCCUGAAGUAGUGGCAGCUACCUUGUUGACUAUAAGGAAAGAAGCCUGAAGACAAUGGUCAACAUGCCAAAGACAGCAAAAUAGAAUGAUGGAAAUCACAUGGCUCCUUCUAGCUCAGACUUCUUGCUAUGAGAGCCCAUGGCAUCCACCAUUCUACUGUGUCUCUCGAACUCCUGGACUUGAGGGAUCUUCCUGCCUCAGCCUCCUGAGUAGCUGGGAUUGCAGGUAUAAGCCAUCACAUCUAGUCUGGAGGUAUCUUCUAAACACAAAAGGCUAAAUGAAUAUGGAUGCAGAUCUGUGGUAUGUAAUUACCUGUAGCUUUCCCCAGUUCUUCACCAGGAGCACCUAUUUAACUUUCCCAAACCCUUUAGGUAAGCCAACCAAAAAUUAGAAAUCUGGAGUCUUUUUCCUUCAUGGCACCCACUAUACCAGCUCAGGGUCCAGAUGGAAUCCUAUUCUUGUUCUUGUCACCCCCAACAACAGACACAAUAUUUUACUAUCUAGAGCACAAUUUUGUCCAUACAUAAGAUUAUUAUUGAAGAGAACAAUAGGAAUGCAAUCUAUAAAAUGGGAAUUCUAGGCCCAAGUAGUUAGCUCCAAGCUCCUAGCUUCCAAGCUCUGAGUGAGUGGCAGAGUAGGUGAUUUUUUGCCUCCUGAACUCCCCAAAAUAAAUCAAUCUUUUUAUUUAUCA
rnacentral:lncRNA from 13 species